rnacentral:rRNA from 1 species
UGCCAGCCGCCGCGGUAACACGGAGGGUGCAAGCGUUGUCCGGAUUUAUUGGGUUUAAAGGGUGCGUAGGCGGCCUAUUAAGCCAGUGGUGAAAGGUAUCAGCUUAACUGAUGACGUGCCAUUGGAACUGAUAGGCUUGAGUACAGACGGGGUAGGCGGAAUUUAUGGUGUAGCGGUGAAAUGCAUAGAUACCAUAAAGAACACCAAUUGCGAAGGCAGCUUACUAGACUACAUCUGACGCUGAGGCACGAAAGCGUGGGGAGCGAACAGGAUUAGAUA